UACAGAGGGUGCGAGCGUUAAUCGGAUUUACUGGGCGUAAAGGGUGCGUAGGUGGUCACGAAAGUCGGAUGUGAAAGCCCUGGGCUCAACCUGGGAAUGCCAUUCGAUACUCCGCGACUAGAAUUCGGUAGAGGGAGGCGGAACUCCAGGUGUAGCGGUGAAAUGCGUAGGGAUCGGAAGGAACACCAGUGGCGAAGGCGGCCUCCUGGACUAACACUGACGCUGAGGUACGAAAGCGUGGGGAUCAAACAGG
rnacentral:rRNA from 1 species